GAUGAAGAACGUAGCGAAAUGCGAUACGUAAUGUGAAUUGCAGAAUUCAGUGAAUCAUCGAAUCUUUGAACGCAUAUUGCGCUCUCUGGUAUUCCGGAGAGCAUGCUUGUUUGAGUAUCAGUAAACACCUCAACUCCCCUUUCUUUUUUGAAAUGGGAGCUGGACUUGAGUGAUCCCAACGCUUUUCUCACCGAAAAGUGGCGGGUUACUUGAAAUGCAGGUGCAGCUGGACUUUUCUCUGAGCUAAAAGCAUAUCUAUUUAGUCUGCCUAAAAAACAGAUUAUUACCUUUGCUGCAGCUAACAUAAAGGAGAUUAGUUCUUGUGCUGACUGAUGCAGGAUUCACAGAGACAGCUUCGGCUGGCCUUUGUAAACUCGAUCUCAAAUCAAGUAAGACUACCCGCUGAACUUAAGCAUAUCAAUAAGCGGAGGA
rnacentral:misc_RNA from 1 species